rnacentral:tRNA from 1 species
GCCUUCGUAGUGUAGUGGUGAGCACACUGGGUGCGUAUUCCAGACGCUCGUGGUUCGAGUCCCGGCGAAGGCG